GGAGCACCGCAGCCAGAAUGCCAUUUUCAUCAUCCUUCCCUUGCUCCUGGUGGUCGCGGGUGCCAUUGUUGCCUGGGUUUGCAGAGCCAAGUGUCCCCACAGACGCUAUAAAGGUCCCUGGACUGUCGCACGGGAGCACACAGACCAUGCCUGACCCCAGGAUGUAAACUGGGCUUCUGUGAGAUGCCACCAGUGGAUGUUGGGCUCGGCUUCAGAACUGAAUCCCACGGACCUGGUGGCAGAGGGGACAGUGGGCUAUCCGCUUAUGCUCUGUGAUGGAGGACAGGAGUCCCCGGCCUUGAGAGGCACAUAGGAUUGAGCCCAGAAACCGCGAGGGAGACCUUUCCAGUGGACAGCAGUGACAUCAGAAUACGGAGCCCACCCGCAAGCAGCUCCUAUCCAACACAGAGAGGAAGCACUUGUGGGGAGGUCCUUCCCCAGCUGGAGCCCCAGAGCACGUGACUUAUUCCCAAGUUCUUCGAUAAAGGGCAUUUGAGCCACUCUGAAAGCACCUACAAAAUCCACUGGAGACCAUUUCCCUACAGAACUUUCAGGAGGGGAGAAAGUCUGACCUUAUUUAUUUUGGCCUAUUUGGGCCUCCUAGAGGCUGUGUGGGCUUUUGUCUACAGAAAACCUGCUGUUGGUGAUAAUGACUGGGCUCAGAGGUUUGGAGUCCAUGGCUUUGCAAAGUCAAAGGGACAGACCUCAAAGCGAAACAUGGCCUAUGCGCCACCCACGGGUGCUUCUUGCUCAUAAUCGAGGGCCCACGAAUCUGACUAUCCUGUGUAUAUAGAAGCUUCCUUCAAACCUCUAGCUCUUCCAGACUGCCCACAAAGCUGGGGGAACACAGCUCCCCUCCCCCGGCCUCAGCAGCCCAGGAAGACCUAUGAAGACCCCUGCCAUGCUUGAAACCACCAGACCCACCACGUGCCCGCAGCCUUCAGGGUCUUUAUGGUGUUGGCUAGAAUAGAACAAGUGACUCUGGUUCUAGAUGGUUCUGUAAAGUUGGCUGCUGGGCCACCUAGGUGUGCACAAGCUCCAGGGACAUGCAGUCAGGACAUGGACGCCCCAGUGGGACACGACAUCUGACCCGAUUUGUGAGCAAGCACCUUUCCCCUUUCCUGCCCAGAGGCUUCAAAGUCCUGGACGGUAAGGGCCUGUGAGAUAUCUCAGGCCUGGAUGGAGCAGAAGUGAGAACCCUGGGGUCAGGCUCAAGGGGAUCAAUAUUAUGCGGAUCUGUCUGCUUUGCUGCCCACAGACUCUCCUUCACAUGGACUUCUUUAUGGAAUGAGCAUUGAGACCCACGUCUUCCUGCAAGCAUUACGUAUCUGUAAAAUAGCAAUUGUUAUGGGUCCUGAGUUGGCAGCUACCGCAAGGAAGGACAAGGAGGUCCUGGGGUGCAGAGCCCCAAGGAGAGUAGUUUGGGAAUGAGUGCCUCCCCAAGUCCCAGGACACAGCCAUGCCCAGGGGUCUGGGUGGGGUGGCAUGUGGCUGCCCAGCAGGGACAUUUGCUCACCUACUUCCACUUUUCUGUCAGAAGGGAGUUUCGGAUCAGAAAGUGAUGAGCCCUACAGUCUAGAUGCCUCGGGCACCACAAACACCAUUCCCACUGCUUCUGUAGACAGUGGGGACCCUCACCAACUGUACCUAGACCUUUGGCUGCUCACUCUAUGGUCACCAUUGCUGGGUGAUUCCAGCAGGCCUCACCUUCCCAUGGACCCCUGGGAGAACCCCCUUCCCCACCCCAGCGCAUCAGCAUUUGGGAGACCUGCCCUGUAACCUCUGCCUCCUUCAGCCCAGAAGCCUGCUGGCGCCCUUUAUCUGGGUUGUAGAUGGGGCUGGAUUUCAAUGUUCUCCUAGUAAUUUCCAGAACUCUGACAAGGGAAUAAAUGCAAGAUGUGCCUUGA